rnacentral:lncRNA from 1 species
UUUCGGACAGUCCAGGCCCAUGUGCACCCACCAGUGCCAAAUCCUGGACCAACCUACAGAAGUUCAAGAAAACCCUGUCACGGGGGUGGCUGGACUUCCAGGCCCCCAGCCCUGUCCUUCACACCCCAGAUCCCUGCACUCAGGCCUCGCCCCUUUCAAGGAGGUGUGAUUAUUAGGACCUUCUCCAUUACAGAUAAAGAAACUCUAGAGGGCAACUGGCCCGUCCAGCGUCCUAGAACUGGGAAGGGGCUGCUCAGGAUUUGCACCCCAUCUGUCUGAAUCUUCCUGACCACCAUCCUCACGACUUCUGGCAAAGGAAGAGAGAGGGGCAGGUGAAGGCUCUGGGAGCUUGGCGAGACGGGAAUGGACUCCGUGGAGGAUGUCUUGAGGGCUUCAGACAGGCCUGAUGGGCCACACAGGCGCACCCACAGGCACCAGAGCUGCCCCUCAGCCAGGCUCCGGAAGCCUCCUCCUCCCUCUUGUGUCUGAGCACUGGGGAGGGGGCUAGGAACCGAGUCCAGGAGGCCUCAGGAAAAGAAGGGGAAGGGACCGAGCCGGACUCCACAGCAUUUGCUUGGCACCCGCUGUGUACGCAGAGUGCCGGAGAUGUUGGGCGUUGAUGGGGGAGACUCGGGCAGAGGACGCGCACCCCUCCUGGCCCACUCACAGGCCCCUGGAGGGGCCCCCACAACAGCCCCCCCAGCCACCCCCAACCUGGCCUCCAGCAUCUCUCUCUGCCGAGUCCUUGCCUCUCCCCCAAGGAGAGCGGAGCCUCCAAUCAGGCCCUGGGAAAGCAAUUUUUCAAUCUCCAACUGCAAACACUAAUACCGCUGAAGCUAAUUUUACAGAUUUCCACUUCGAGGCCUUACCUUUGUCCCAGAAUCCCUCAGCCCGGGAGAUUAGCAGUUUAGAGACUGGAAAAAAUAAGGUUAGUGAAGGAGGAGCCAAGUCCAGUCCCUGCUCCACAGGGUGGCUGGAGGAGGGGCACUGCCUGGGCCAGCCUCUGCAGCAUGGCUCAAGCCCACAGCCUAUGGAGAGGCAGAGAAGGGGAAGGGUCAGCUCUCAUCCUGCCCUGCGUGCUGGGAACACUGCCUGCUGCACUGUGCUGCUCACCGCCACUGCCAGAGACGUCAAAGCCGCCAGGACCAGUCAAAGUAAUAUGCCUGCGACCGGCACAUGGACUUUUAUUUCUUCUCCCUCCACGCUCCAGAGCUGCUCCUGCGGCGUGGAGAGAUAAAUAUUUUAAAUAGCGACACUUUGGCGAUGCACGGUUAUGCAAGACAAGGAAUAAUUAGAAAAUAAAUUACUUUUUUUAAACACAGCGUUACAAACAUCGGGUGCAUCAGAUUACUGUUCUCUGCAGGCCAGGGCCACACGGCUCAGGGAGGCCAGCGCAACAAGGACCUCAGGGAGCAAGCACACACCAGCCUGUCCCCACAGCCCCCAGAUGGUGACACCCCUCCCGCCUGCUCUGGGAGGCUCCCAGAAUCGAGCUGAAGACCACACUUGGCAGCUUCCAGAAGAUCUCGGCGAUGGAAAGGCUUCCUCCGGCGUCUCACCAGCAGUAGCGCAGACUAAAAAUAGUUUAAUCUCCUUGAAAGCAAAAGGAGCAAUCAGCAAAACAGACACUUGGGCCCACAUGCUCCCCCC